GGACGCAAAACAUUCCCCUCCCCCCUCCCGAUCACCCUCCUCCUCCUCCCCCUCCCCCCCAUAGUGUGCGUGAACUUCUGAUGCCACCAAUCAUCACAUCUCCUCGACGGCACUAUGUCCAAGGCCAUUAACGCCUAUCGCAUCAAGAAGAUCGAGAGCAUCGGGAGGAUGACGGCCCUGACGCAGGAGGAGGUGGUGUCCCACACGCGGACGGUGGUGCAGGGGUUGGAGGCCCUGCGGAAUGAGCACAACUCCAUCCUGACGGGCAUCAACAACUCCAUCACCUCCGCCCAGCACCACCCGCCCGACUCCAAUGUCUUCUCGGAGAAGGCUGGCAUCAUCCAGAAGUCCCUCGACCAGAUCGAGCUCGGGCUCUCCGAGGCUCAGAUUAUGCUGGCACUUGCCUCCCACCUGCAGACGGUUGAGGCUGAGAAACAGAAGCUGCGUGCACAGGUUCGGCGGCUUUGCCAGGAGAAUGCGUGGCUUAGGGACGAGCUGGCCUCCACCCAGCAGAAGCUGCAGGCCUCCGAGCAGCAUGUGGCACAGCUGGAGGAAGACAAAAAGCACCUCGAGUUCAUGUCCACCAUCAAGAAGUACGAUGCGGACGUACAGGACUCAGAGUCAUCAAUGGAGGAAAAGAAAGACAAAAGUGAUGAUCCCGUUGUAGACCUAUUUCCAGACGACGAUGCCGAUGACAGGGCUGCUGCCAUGUCCCCAACUCCACCGUCCCAGUUCGCACAGCAGGUGAAUGCUGGUUAUGAAAUACCAGCUCGUCUUCGUACUUUGCACAAUCUAGUAAUCCAAUAUGCCUCACAAGGACGCUAUGAGGUGGCAGUUCCUCUGUGUAAACAAGCACUGGAGGACCUUGAGAAGACCUCCGGGCAUGAUCAUCCUGAUGUGGCAACUAUGCUCAAUAUCCUGGCUCUUGUCUACAGGGACCAGAAUAAAUACAAAGAGGCAGCGAACCUCCUAAAUGAUGCGCUCGCCAUCCGGGAGAAGACCUUGGGAGAGAACCACCCUGCAGUUGCAGCUACCCUAAAUAACCUAGCUGUGUUAUAUGGAAAGCGAGGCAAAUACAAGGAGGCUGAGCCUCUGUGCAAGCGAGCCCUGGAGAUCCGUGAAAAGGUGUUAGGCCGUGACCACCCUGAUGUGGCCAAGCAACUCAACAACUUAGCCUUACUUUGUCAGAACCAGGGCAAAUACGAAGAAGUAGAGCGGUAUUACCAGCGAGCGUUAGAAAUUUACGAAUCGAAGUUGGGGCCCGAUGACCCCAAUGUAGCCAAGACGAAGAACAACCUUGCCUCAGCAUACCUCAAGCAAGGGAAGUACAAGGAGGCUGAGAUCUUGUACAAGCAGGUUCUCACAAGGGCUCACGAGAGGGAGUUUGGUGCCAUUGACGGCGACAACAAACCCAUCUGGCAGGUGGCAGAGGAGCGUGAAGAGAACAAGAAUAAGGUGAAGGACUCAGCUCCCUAUGGCGAGUAUGGCGGCUGGCACAAGGCGGCCAAGGUAGACUCGCCCACAGUGACCACGACCCUGAAGAACCUGGGUGCCCUUUACCGGCGCCAGGGCAAGUACGAGGCGGCUGAGACCCUGGAGGAUUGCGCCAUCCGGUCACGUAAGGAGGCCGUCAAUCUGGUCAAGGACGGGAUGACGCCAGAGGGAAGCCGACGACUCUCAGCCUCAAGGGACAGACUCCGCAGGGGGUCACGAGAGUCCCUCAACUCAGCUGAGUUCGAUGCCAACGACGAUCCCCCAAACUUCCCUUCCCCCAUGGGGUCUACCACUUCACAAAGAUCGCAAGAAGACGCACGCCACACCGACUGAAACGGGCAAGUUCACUGUCCGUUCUUAGUGGAGAGGAGCCCCAGAAACAGUCCUUACAGGUUCCCCUAGCUGUGCGUGGUCGAGCAGUGAGCUCAGAACACCUUUCCCGACCAGCUGCUUCUGCCUCGCCUGGCCUGCGCUAGAGACUACUUUCAUGCUCGCUGUUCCUUCUGCGUUAAUGUUACCUAUCAUAAGCAAUGGGAAAGAUCUAUUCAUGGUAGAUUACAAGAGCCUCCUGUCCUUGCUUUUCCACAUAAGGACAGAGAAUUGUUCUUUAUGUUCUGUACGUAAGCAACCUACCAGAGCAGUCUUUAGAUAUGUGUUUUUAUAGAUUGUUCCUAUGAAAAUUCUAUCUAUGUCUGUGUGUGUGCAGGACUAAUAACCAUAACCCAUUGUUAGUGACAGUUAACGGUGGGGCAUUUAAAACUUUGAGAAAGUUACUUUUGCAUGACAUAGUACAUCAAGAGCAGUUGUGUAUAAAACAAGGACAGGUAUUAAAACAUCAAUCACAUUGCAUUAUUGAUUUUAUGCAAUGGAAAUUAGAAAUUGGAGAGGCAGAAUAAAAGAAUAAAUAAGAGAAUAAAAAGCCCAAAUUAGCAGAUGGCAGCCUGGUCUUCCAGUUCGAAAAAUGGGUAGGAAACCAAGGACAGAAAACCAAGGGGUACUGAUUUGCAUGGGACAGGUAACGGAAUUUUAGAUUUUUACAGGAUGAAAAUGUAUAAAAUAAAGAGGAGAAAUUUAUGGAUUUCAACACUGGAAAGUCAAAAAAAAGAAAAAAAAAAAUGUAGAUUAGAAUGGUUGUCUUGUUUUGUAGUACCAUCACUGACACAUUCAUUGCAUUGUGUUUGGAUGCCUAAGCUGCAUUUGAAUCCCUGAAACUGGUAGAGUGUAGUUACCAGAGAAUAACAAUUACAUAAUGUGCUAUAGUCUGCAUAUAGUUUCCAAAGCCUCAUAAUAGCAUGUUCCAAAGUAUUCAUCUCUUAGCCUGGACAGAACUUUUGUCCAUGCAGCUCUUAUGAUUUUCUGCACAUGUAUAGUCACAAAAUGGCCAAGAAUUUCCUUUUUGUAAUUUAAAUGAAUCCAUUAUUGCAAUCUUGAGUGAGAGGUGUGCAUGUGAAAAAAAGAAAACAAAAAAAAGUUUAUAUUUAAUAAAUAUUUAAUAAUUCAGUGUCUCUGUACUGGCAGAACAUAAAAUUUACAUUUGAUGUCAUGAUAGAGUGCUUUAUUGAACAAGGCAUUGACAUACCAUUCCAGGAGGAUCUUGAUAGCUAUCUAGUCUUUUAUUUAUGAGAUUUGUGUCAUUUCAUGUUUUUAGUUUCUUACAUUGUGGAUUUUGGUAUGUUGUUGUAAAUGGCUAUAUUGUACAUUUCCAGUUUUGUAUUACUUAAUUUGGUUAAGAUGAUUUUGUGUUAUAUUUAUUUCUGUAAUAGUUUUGUGUCUAGGUCAAAAUUAUACAAAGCAUAUAUUGUUUUAAUUUCAUUCAUGAUUCUCAUGAGCAAAACUAUUUUUCAGUGUAGUUUUAAGGACCAUAUGCAUUAUAUCCACCAAGAAGAAAAUGAUGCACAUCCUGUUAUGGAUGAAGCUAUAGUUACCCUUGAACCAGUGUCCCAUACAGGGUUAAAUAUAUACACAAUAUGAGGAAAAUAUCCCUGGAAACAGUUAUUUAUCCCACUAGUGACUAAAAAGAACUACGAGAUUUGGGCCACAAGUUCCCAUCUCUUAGUUCAGAAGAAAGAUAGUUGUACUGUGAUUCUUGCACUUCCAGUACUAUUAUAAAUACAGUUGCUGGCAGUAUAGGAAUGUUAGUCAACUGGUAUAUCUUGCACAGGGGUUGUAAAGAUUUCAUCAUUUCAGCUGUCUGAACGUUCACAACCUAACUUUUUUGUUAGCUUCAUGUCUGCUUUUGUCUGUGCAUUCCCACGGUGACACAGCAACCGAUGUAGGAAAAGUUAUCAAUAAACAACUUGAUGGCUUAUG
rnacentral:misc_RNA from 1 species